CCUACGCGAGGCAGCAGUGGGGAAUUUUGCGCAAUGCUCGUAAGAGUGACGCAGCGACGCCGCGUGAAUGACGAAGGCCUUCGGGUCGUAAAGUUCUUUCUACAGGGAAGAAAAUGCCUAUACGUAACUGUGUAUGUAUUGACGGUACCUGAAAAAGCAGCCCCGGCUAACUCCGUGCCAGCAGCCGCGGUAAUACGGAGGGGGCGAGCGUUGUUCGGUGUGACUGGGCGUAAAGAGCACGUAGGCGGUGUUGUAAGUCAUUAGACAAAGACUAGAGCUCAACUUUAGUAAGGGUAGUGCUACUAUAAUACUGUAGGAUAAGAGAGGAUUGCAGAAUUCGUGGUGUGGUG
rnacentral:rRNA from 1 species